AAUUUUGGACAAUGGGGGAAACCCUGAUCCAGCCAUCCCGCGUAUAUGAUGAAGGCCUCCGGUUUGUAAAGUACUUUUGGCAGAGAAGAAAAGACUUCCUCAAAUAAGGGAUGUUGACGAAGGUAGCUGCAUAAUAAACACCGGCUAACUACGUUACAGCCGCCGCGGUAAUACGAAGGGUGCAAGCGUUAAUCGGAAUUACUGGGCGUAAAGCGUGUGUAGGCGGUUCGGAAAGAAAGAUGUGAAAUCCCAGGGCUCAACCUUGGAACUGCAUUUUUAACUGCCGAUCUAGAGUAUGUCAGAGGGGGGUAGAAUUCCACGUGUAGCAGUGAAAUGCGUAGAUAUGUGGAGGAAUACCGAUGGCGAAGGCAGCCCCCUGGGAUAAUACUGACGCUCAGACACGAAAGCGUGGGGAGCAAACAGG
rnacentral:rRNA from 1 species